UACGAAGGGGGCUAGCGUUGCUCGGAAUGACUGGGCGUAAAGGGCGCGUAGGCGGCUUGUAUAGUCGGAUGUGAAAUUCCUGGGCUUAACCUGGGGGCUGCAUACGAGACGUAUGGGCUUGAGUGCGGAAGAGGGUCGUGGAAUUCCCAGUGUAGAGGUGAAAUUCGUAGAUAUUGGGAAGAACACCAGUGGCGAAGGCGGCUCACUGGCCCGAUACUGACGCUGAGGUGCGAAAGCGUGGGGAGCAAACAGG
rnacentral:rRNA from 1 species